CAUAUAUAAAAACCACAAAGAGGACACAAAAAUCACAAAUCUCAGGGCUUCAUGACUGUCCGCUUUUCGAUACGCCAAGGACGCAGCCUGGAAGAAUAGCCUGCCUUCAGGGUGCCGGGAUUUCGUAGCUCUGGAGGCGGGCGGAUGUCAGGUCGGUGUCACCGCCUAAUGUGCCGUGGAAAAUCGAAAGCAGAGAGCUGGCUGCUGUCUGUGUGCCCAGAGACCAGAGUUCCUUGGACACAGAACUCGGGAAAAAACGACGCAACACACCUUUAACACCAUAAAUCCGCGAGUCGUUUUGUUAUGUUUCCCCUCUCUCAGUGAAACGGGGACACCUGCUAUUCCCUUAUUAGGGAGAGACAGAGAGCCUGUGACUUCACGAAUUACAGGGCGAAGGAGGAGUCUUUGGGGACAGGGAACGGAGGUUCUCCAUGACAUCCCAGAGAAGUUGAUCGUGCAGACCCAGUUGGGAGCCCUGGCUGGCGAGGGCUUGUUACAGGGUAUUGGUGUCCGCUGGGUCCAUAGUGGCCAGAUCGUUCUGUUGCAAGGAGCGACUGCGGCGAACCCAAGCGCAGGACACAGGCACGGAGAUUAAGGACAUCUUUGAGGAGCGAUGCCUCAAAAAGGCGGCAUCCAUGGUGAAGGACCCCGCCACCCAGGACAUGCCCUCUUCUCACUGCGACCCUCAGGAAGGAGGCACAGAAGCCUGAAAGCACACACUCAGCGAUUCAAGAACAGUCUCUUCCCCUCUGCCAUUUCUGAAUGGACACUGAACCCAUGCUCUACUUCACUACUUUUUAUUUCUGUUUCCGCACUAUUAUUUUAUAUAUUUACUGUAAUUCACAGUUUUCUCUGUUAUUAUGUGUUGCACUGUACUGCUGCCACAAAGACAGCAAAUUUCACGACAUUAUGCCGGAGACGUUAAACCUGAUUCUGAUUUCCUUGCUUCUGUACCUCAUGCUGAAUACUGGGAGAGCUGUCACAUGUGACCACUCCUAGGGACUACCUGUACACUGUUACUUGAAGCUCUUUUUGCAUAUUCCUCCAAGGAAUGUGUGGGCAUCACAGGUUGAAGUGGUAUUUAAUUCCUUUGUGGUGGGCUGCAGUCCUUGAGGUGUGGGUGCACCCACAAUGCAGUUAGGGUGGGUGAUCCAGGGUUCUGACCCAGUCAGUGUCAAUGCCCUGGUUCAGAUUUUUACUGCUAUGCUGUAGGCAUUUCAUUUUAGCAGUUCUGUAAGAGCAAUCUGUUCUGCUUUCAGCCUGUUUGGGUCCGAGCUCAGGAAUGAGGUGUCAUCCAAUCAAGAUGGUAGUAUUGGGAGAAGGUGCUAGAGAUUACUGGGCAGAGAGGUCUUUGUUUGGCCGGAGCUGGGAGAAGACAGGAGGAAAGAUGGUGAAUGAUGAGGCUGCUUUGUGCAGAUGAAUGGCUUCGAGGAGGAAGGACCAAUAAUCCCGUGGGAAAGCCUCUUCGUUCAAGAUGGAUUUCCAGUGACCUUCGGAAGGUGGUGUGGGCUUUCACGAAGACCGAGGGAGGGUCCAGCGCGCGAUUUACAGAGAAGUUCAAGAUUUCAGCUUCACUGUGCACUUGUGACAUUUUAAGUAGAAUGGGCCCUUUUUGCUUUUUUUCUCUUUCUUUCCUUUAAUAACUGUUUGCUUAAGUUAACAUUC